ensembl:lncRNA
GCCCUGUCUGAGGUGUGACGAGUGUCUCUCACAGGAGAUUAACAUUUUAGAGUCCCCGCUUCCCUCCCGCCCGCUUCACAACCCCAACGCUCCAGAAUCCCACAGGAAAAACAAAAACGUUUCUCCAAUGGAUAAAAAGCUUUGACCUUUUAUCAGCUGCAGGAAAUGCAUUAGCCGCCUCAUAAUCCAAUUUAUAGCACCAUGCAAAGGAUGGGUCUGCAUGGCGGAUUGAGAGGGAAAGGAGCAGAGAAAAACACCUUGGUGAAAAAAUCUCAGACAAUUUGGUGUGAAGGAUGGGGUGCUAACUCUGCUUGCUGAUUGCUCCCGGGGAGACUGGUGUUAACUGUGCGCAGGGGCUGCGUUUGAUGUGGCCGGGAGCCCCACACUCUGACUAAGGGGAGCAGAAAAGGGACCCGCCUCGGACCUGGCAGGGAGCGUCAGUGACUGGACACUGAACAGACAAAAUAGGGAGGCUUAUGGAAACCCCCCAGUGCAGGAGCAGCCAUUGACAAACCCUCUGAACAACCACAAGCGUUGCAUCUCCCGCUCAAUUUAUGGGACCAUUGAGGGCCUGGACAACCAGCCCUUCACGCUGCCACGAAACGCCAUGAUGGAAACUACACACACAGUAUUGAACAUAACUUGCCAACAUCAUAACUGGAACUGAACAUCUUUUGUGCUGAAGAUUGAGGACAGCGUUGUAUGCUAGCAACAUACUGUUUGAAGAGGGAGUAGGGAGGAUGAGGGAGUGGAUACCAUGAUGAGAGAGUGGGGAGGUGGGUGAGAUAUUGUCAAUAUAAUUGCAUAAUGGAACUGUAUUUGAUUUGUAUGCCAUUGAGGACAACAGUGUCGAUGAGAUGGAAAAAUAUAUUCUUAUACCACCUGGUUGUUCUCCGAGUAACUCCAAGGCAUAGUGAUAGGUCUCCUCGACUAUGUCUCCCACCGGCUCCUCUGUCAGAAACAGCUUGAACCACUCUGUCUCAGAGUGAGAUGGCAAGGGGCUUUGCACUCCAGACUGGAACUCAUCAAAGCCAACAGCAGGGCCAAGAGGGCAGAAAUGGCUGGAGGCCUUCCAGCUACCGCAGAUCUAUGUACUUCACCCACUGUUGGUCUGCCUCCAUUGCCACCAGCAUCUUCAGAGGGACCUGGGACUUCAUUGGUGGGCAAUGGGUCCUCAGAUUCAGGGUUCUCAAUGGCCACAAGGUUGGGGAACAGCUCAUCAACUGUCACUGUCAGAAUCUUAUUUCUCACUGUCAUACUCAGAAUUGUCAGAAUUUACAAAAAUCUUCAGAAUUUCCAUAUUUGUGAGUUGUCUCCUUUUGAAAUACAUUGCUAAUGCUACAGCUUAUCCCACUAGCAACACACAUCAACAAAAAGAAUGAAUGGCUCCAAGUGAGUGUCAGGGGUGAUGUGAUUGACUGCCGGUCUGGUGAUACUGAUGAUUUGUCUCCACAUACGGUUUGUUUACAUAGCAGGUUAGGGUAGUUAACAUGGCAGGUUAGGAGAACUAAUACAGCAAGUUAGGUGUAUUAACAAUGGAGGUUAAGAUAAUUAGUUUUAGGUUAGGAAAAUAGUUAUGGGUUAGGCUUA